rnacentral:rRNA from 1 species
GCUUGCUGCUUCGCUGACGAGUGGCGGACGGGUGAGUAAUGUCUGGGAAACUGCCUGAUGGAGGGGGAUAACUACUGGAAACGGUGGCUAAUACCGCAUAACGUCGCAAGACCAAAGAGGGGGACCUUCGGGCCUCUUGCCAUCAGAUGUGCCCAGAUGGGAUUAGCUUGUUGGUGAGGUAACGGCUCACCAAGGCGACGAUCCCUAGCUGGUCUGAGAGGAUGACCAGCCACACUGGAACUGAGACACGGUCCAGACUCCUACGGGAGGCAGCAGUGGGGAAUAUUGCACAAUGGGCGCAAGCCUGAUGCAGCCAUGCCGCGUGUAUGAA